UACGUAGGGGGCAAGCGUUGUCCGGAAUUAUUGGGCGUAAAGCGCGCGCAGGCGGUUCUUUAAGUCUGGUGUUUAAGUGCGGGGCUCAACCCCGUGACGCACUGGAAACUGGGGAACUUGAGUGCAGAAGAGGAGAGCGGAAUUCCACGUGUAGCGGUGAAAUGCGUAGAGAUGUGGAGGAACACCAGUGGCGAAGGCGGCUCUCUGGACUGUAACUGACGCUGAGACGCGAAAGCGUGGGGAGCAAACAGG
rnacentral:rRNA from 1 species